rnacentral:tRNA from 1 species
GCCCGGGUGGCGAAACGGCAAACGCUGCUGGCUUAGAACCAGCCGACUGGGGGUUCGAAUCCCUCCCCGGGCACCC